UAUUUAUUUUAUUUGUUUUGUUUUUGUAGCAUGGAAAGCGAAAAUGUGAAGUUGUUUUGUGUAUUUCAGUUUCCUUUUUCUUCUUGCAAUAUGAGAACAACCCAGUGCUAGGUAAAAGGAAGGUAAGCCAUGUUGUGAAGAGAAAUGCCCAUUGCCUUAGAUCCACAUGCCAGAGGGUCCCCUGAGAGAUCUUGGUUUUUCAGAGCUUCAUGGGGCUUGGCAGCUUUUAGUCCCUUAUAGUAAAACUCAUUGCAUUACAAAGCCAUCCACUGAGGCACUGUGCUUAGGUUUCAAGAAAAAGCUUCAAAUUCUAUGAAGUUUGUAAAAUAUGAAUAUAAUUUUCAGUGGUUCAAGCUGAUGAAACAGCAUCCAAUUAGUUACUGUGUAAGCUGACUGUGUGAGUGGUGUCUGGAGAGCAUUCCCACUGCUCUCCCUGCACCUGCAUUGCAGUAAUAUUCACACAUAUAUUUCUUAAUUGCUUUCCUGUAAAAAUCUUCUUUAGGUCAUGACUGAAAGCAGGAUUCCAGGUGACCCAGGCAGUAGAUAACAUUCGAUUUGAUAGGUGAUUAACUCCUAGAUAAAUAUAAAAAGUGGAAAAAGAUAGAAAAUGAAUGAUACAAAGAAAGAUACAAACAACAGAAGAUGCUAACACAUCUAACUAAACGUAGCAUGUGACCAAUAGAAUCUAGUUAAGAAAGAGUCCAGCUGUACAAGACAGAAGUGUUCCUUGUGAUGAGAGAUGAGCAAUGCAUGUUGGGUGUGCUACUGAUUUGGAGAACAGUCAUUCUAUUUUUGGACUGUUGUGGCCAACUAUCGUACAAUACCUCCUCGGGAAGGCUGUUACAAUGCUACCCAUUAUUUCAGCUAUACUUAAUAUUCUACAAGCAUUUCCUUGAUAAAUCUAUUUCUGAAGGCUACAAUGAGGUGGUAAAUGUUCGUUCAACAACAAAGAUGGCUGCAAUUAGCAAUUUAAAAAUUUUUUGAAAGAGAAGCAGAAGUUCAUGAAAACAGUUGUGGAUUCUGGCACUUUUGAACAUGAAUUAAAAAUAUAUAUAUGAGUAGUACAGGGAUGGGGCAUGCCUCUGGUGUGGGUUUGUACAGAGCACAGAGCAACAUCUCUGUCCACCCUCUUCUGUAAGAGAGCUGCAGAGAUGUCUUUAAGACGCAAAAGCUCUGAUUAUCCAAAAUCUCUGAUACAUUAGAAAUUCCAUCUGGGGUGCAAUGAUUGAUCUCUGAGGACCAGUUAGUGCCUUUCAGUGUAACAAGUUGACUUUUUAAAAAUCCAAAUUUGCCUGGAGGAGCCUGAUUUCUGUGAGGCUGUACAGACAUACUGGUGCCAUCAGCUCCCUCCCUCUAACCCCUUUAAAUUCUCUGGUUGUUCUUCUUCAGGACCUCAUUUGUCACAGGCAGCCCCAUGUCAACUGGUUCCAGAGGACACCUGUAUCUCUUUUUCAUAUGGGAACAGUACACAUGGCAUCAAAACUUUGCCAAAGUCUCACUGUGCAAUGAACUCAUUGCGAAGGGGUGUUCCAACAGGUUGGUCACCAAUGCAAUAUCAAAGGCAGAAAAGCUGAAGAAUCUUCCACCAUAGUUAGGUUUAGCUGCCCUUGCUCCCAGAUGAAAUGAGUAAAAAAGUUGUAGACUUUCCCUAUUUUUGCCAUUCAUCUCUUUCUUAUAUGCCAGGUUGACUGUUGGGCGAAGGCAACACUCAGCUUUCUGGAGAAACAUAGAAUCAAAGAAUGGCCUGGGUUGAAAAGGACCAUAAUGAUCAUCUAGUUCCAACCCCUCUGCUAUGUGCAAGGCUGCCAACCACUAGAAUUCUACGAUACAUCUUGUAUGUCCACAUAGGUUUCAGCUUUCUCUGAUCUCUGGUAAACUUGCACUACAGUGGGACAUCCACUAGUCAAGAUCAUGGACCAGUGUGAGAGACCAAGCUCUUUCCAAAGACAGUGUCAGAUCUUUCUUGGCAUGGUCCCUGUCCUGUAGCAGGUAGCACUUAUGCCCAAAACACUCCAGCAUGUGCUCUUUGCAUUGGGACAGCCAGUCCUCCUCUUCCUCCUUCUGCCAGCAGGCCCCCGCUCAGAGGCAGACAAGACUCAACUAUUCGUCCUCAGGCUAUCAUCAUUUGAGACCUGGCUAUGAGCCCUCUGACUGAAUUGUACUCAUCUGCCACUGAUGUGAAGGAGGGCAUGUUCCAGGCACACAGCCCAGAUCUUGGAGAAGAAAGUUCUUCCUUCCUUCUUCUGGACAGCAAGAAGGAUUUGGACACUGAGUCAUCAAACAAAAUGGCUUGGAGUGAAUGGAUUUUCCUGUGUCCUGCUACUUGUCCAGCAGAAGUUGUGGCUGCAGAGAGCACAUCAACUGUGUAGAGAUCUUCUGGCUCCAACAGUCUUGUACAAGUGCCACUAGGCCAUAACAAAGCUCACCAAGAGAGAGGGUGAACAGGAAGCAUUGCUGCAGCAGAACUGUGUCAAGCAGAAGUUUGGUAUGUUUGAGAGCAUCUGAGGUAGAAGAACCACAUGGCACAUGAGGAGCUCCACUCACUUACACGCUGCCAUGUUCCUGGGAAACUAAUAGCCCCCUAUCACAUGGAGACAACCAGUCAUCCCACAUCAUUUCCGAGCACAAGUAUUUACUGGACCUGAUACACAGGCUAGCUUUAUGAGCAUUUGUAUUAUUAAGCCUAGGAAUUCUAGUCAGAAGGCUGCAUCAAAGGGCAAUACAACUUUGGAAGGAGUGCCUCUAGACUUCUUGAAACCGGUAGUGGAAUGGUCAUAGCUCUUGGUGGGAUUGAAGGUCACAGUAUUCUCUAUUUUGAUUAUGUUUUAUUUUUGUUGUAUUUGACCUUGACAUUUGCAGGGUGAGAUGCCUGGUCACAGUCUGAUAAUUCUAAUUAAGAUUGAAUAUUUUGUAAAGUAGUGAGUAAAUGGCCAUAGAAAACUAGAAAUCGUGAUAUUUUGCUUAGUACAUUUCAACAGACAUAUGCUGAUGCUAAAUGGAUACUAUUUAUUAGGUUGCCCUUGAGAACAUUGAAUAUUUUUUUCUUUUUCUCCAUAAUCAGCCAGAGCAAAAGAGAAAAAGGAAGGCCCCUUUGGGGCAUGUAAUUUGUUUGAACUUGAGGCCUUGCUUCCUAAAAAAUGGCCAGUUUCCCAGUCUUGUAUGGCAGCGCUAUCUUGACCUGAUGUGCUCCCACUAAAUAAGGGCACACUCAUGAAAAUCUGUGAAUGUGGCAAUUCUACUUGUGGACUCUGAGUAUCUGUUGGAUUCAACAAGAACAGCUGUCCUCUAUAUAAAUGUGUUUUCUUUUUGCUUGUCAGUGUCCCAUUGUGGUAGGUAAUCCACAGUGUUAAAUAUUGGUAGUCUGUCGGGUCUAUGCCUUCCCAGUGUCUUUUCUAUAUAAGGUAAUACAGUUGCCUUGCACUUGUCAAACCGGAAAACAAAUGUGGUAAUGAAUAAAGAAAUUUUUGCACUGUA